CCAGACUCCUACGGGAGGCAGCAGUGGGGAAUAUUGCACAAUGGGGGAAACCCUGAUGCAGCGACGCCGCGUGAAGGAAGAAGUAUUUCGGUAUGUAAACUUCUAUCAGCAGGGAAGAAAAUGACGGUACCUGACUAAGAAGCCCCGGCUAACUCCGUGCCAGCAGCCGCGGUAAUACGGAGGAUGCGAGCGUUAUCCGGAUUUAUUGGGUUUAAAGGGUGCGUAGACGGAAAGGCAAGUCAGAAGUGAAAACCCAAGGCUCAACCAUGGGACUGCUUUUGAAACUGUCAAACUAGAGUACGGGAGAGGUAAGAGGAAUUCCUAGUGUAGCGGUGAAAUGCGUAGAUAUUAGGAGGAACACCAGUGGCGAAGGCGUCUUACUGGACCGAAACUGACGUUGAGGCUCGAAAGCGUGGGGAGCAAACAGGAUUAGAUACCCGAGUA
rnacentral:rRNA from 1 species